UAUUGGGCCGACUCUAGCCCGCUACGGAUAUUCUCUGAUGGGCCGUAAUCUCGCAUAUGCUUAAUGGGCCGUAAGUUCGUAAAUUUGUGGGACCACUCACGGCGAUCAAAACCUCCUCCGCCGCUCCGUCGCUUCAGUUCCGCCGGCGGCGAAACUCCCGAUAAGCGAAGGUUCGCCGGCGGCGGCGCCAUCGGUGGUGACGUCGAGGCGUCCCCGGCGGCACCGACCUCUUCGGCCUCCCCUUCGUUAUGGCGGAUCAGGAGGGGGAAGAAGCUAGGCGAGUGUGGGAGCGGAGAGGGGGAUGAGCCAGCCCUAGGGUUUCGCUGCGAGGGCAAGCCGCCAAUUACGCCCGCGGCGGGAACGCGAGGAUCCCGAGUUGAUCCUCGUCCUGAUCUCCCUCGUCAUCAUCUUCUUCGUAGUGAGGCCUCCUCGAAUCUCUCUCACCACACCAUGAUUGCCUGCUUAAUGCUUAUCAAUGUCUCUCUCGCAUUUGGUAAUGAUUUAUUUUUUUUUCGGGGGGCUCGGUUUUGGUUUGAUUUCUUCGUCUUCGUGGCCGGUAAUUUCGUCCGCAACGAGCUCCAUCCACCAGCGAUCUUGCUGCAGCUGUGAUUUGGGGCCAUUUUGUCGACCUUGUCUCUGUGCAAUUAUUAAUAUAUAGUUCAUGGCUCAUUUAGGAGAAAGUUUCAGUGACUGUUAUAGCUAAGCUUUAAUGCCAUUUUGCUGGGCCCAGAAUUGUAUAAACACAUCAAAAUUGCCGCCGAUGAUGUUGAGACAAAGCAAAUUGUGUUUCAAGACACCCAAGAUAAAAUGCCAUCAAAUAUAAUAUCUGUUGUGCAAUGCGGAGGAUCCAUACAUCUUCUGUGGUCUCAAGAAGCUAAAUUUUCUAUUAAGCCAAACAUCACAAGACAACCAAACACUGACUAUAAAACGACUCAGCUUCAUUUUGGUGACCUUGGUAGAUGAGAUACAGAAACCCAAUUAUCAUAUUAAAUUUGAUCAAGGGAGCAGAAAAAGGGGCUCAAUUCAUUGAUUAUCCUAGUUGCUUGGGAAAUUCGGAAACACCAUAAUGACAGUGUUUCCAACGGAGCGGAUCCAAGCGUCAUGGAGGUGUCGAGGGCAGUGUCAACAGAAGCUAGGUUUCGGUUCCUGGCUAGAGCUCUUGCGCUCCAAGAUUUCCUUUGUAGGUCACUAACCCAAGGGCACUAGGCUGGUUUUUGGUCUUUGUACGGUGGUUUUUGGUCGUGUAUCGCCUUGUGUGAUGCUAGUUGUGGAUGUGUUCUGGGUGAAGGGCUCAUGAGCCCUUGGUUGUAUGGGUGGUUUGUUUUCCUUCUUAAUGAAAUGAAGUGCAGCUCUCCUGCGUUUUCUAAAAAAAUUUAAAAAACUUGUGAGGAUUGUGGUAUUACUCCAAUUCUGAUAUCAUCUAACAUGAAAUAUUUCAGUUGCUAGCUUUUCCAGUUUUAAGCACUUUCUUUGUAUGUAAUCAGGAACAAUCUUCAGAAACAUAAUAUGUACUAAAAAUGAUUCAGAACUUAAGUGUUGUUCUAUUGAUCAAGCCAAAUCAUUUUUACAUAUUCAUUACAAAAUAAUUGUAAAGCUUGAAGGAAAACAUACCAUCUCUCUGUUUUCCUGAUUGCCUGGUCACAACACAGGCAUAGAGAUUUUGAUCAGCAUGUCAAUACAUAGGGAAAAUGAGAUUGGAAAAAUAACAGUAUUUACAUGUCAUUUUGCAAUCCUUUACUAGACGAGUUUUAGUCAAUAGGCUUUUUUUGCAGAUGAAGUUUUAUUUCUCUCAUAAACAUGACAAUAUAUAAGAAUAUUUUUAUAUACAUGUCUUGUUGAUGCACAUUUAUAUUUUGUGCCUUUUCGCUUUAUGGCUUUGUGUAGUAUGAUAGCUUAGAAAAUUAUAAC